rnacentral:rRNA from 1 species
AUGGAUCAAAUAGAAGACAUGGAUUCCGUGUGGUCAAGGAGCUUUAUGCAUCAAAAUAAUUUUCCUCAUCUACAUCAGGUACAAUUUUGGAUUCCACAUGGAGAUCAUGUCGGGGCACACCAACUAUACCCAUCGUUACUGCUCAAGAAUCUCCCACUCUGUACGAAGGUUGUCUCUGGUCAGUUGAUGUCAUUGUUCCAUUGGUUUGUUACUCUUUUUUUCAGAUUAAAGCAUUGGAUUUGUAGCUUCCCUUGGACUAAACAAGUACUAAUCUUCAGAAUUCUAUGUUCUUUUACCUGCUAA